AUUGAACGCUGGCGGCAGGCCUAACACAUGCAAGUCGAGCGGAUGAAGGGAGCUUGCUCCUGGAUUCAGCGGCGGACGGGUGAGUAAUGCCUAGGAAUCUGCCUGGUAGUGGGGGAUAACGUCCGGAAACGGGCGCUAAUACCGCAUACGUCCUGAGGGAGAAAGUGGGGGAUCUUCGGACCUCACGCUAUCAGAUGAGCCUAGGUCGGAUUAGCUAGUUGGUGGGGUAAAGGCCUACCAAGGCGACGAUCCGUAACUGGUCUGAGAGGAUGAUCAGUCACACGGGAACUGAGACACGGUCCAGACUCCUACGGGAGGCAGCAGUGGGGAAUAUUGGACAAUGGGCGAAAGCCUGAUCCAGCCAUGCCGCGUGUGUGAAGAAGGUCUUCGGAUUGGAAAGCACUGUAAGUUGGGAGGAAGGGCAGUAAGUUAAUACCUUGCUGUUUUGACGUUACCAACAGAAUAAGCACCGGCUAACUUCGUG
rnacentral:rRNA from 1 species